AUUCCACAUGUACUUUGAAGAAUGUUCAUUCUGCUGCUGGGUGUACUCAUCUGUGUAUGUCUGAUUCUCCAAGAGUCCCAUGGAGCCACACCACCUGCUGUCUUGGCACUUCAUGAGUCCAAUGCUGCUUCCCGAGAGGAUCUGGUUGGUAGACCAUGACCUUGAUUACUGCCUCUAAGCCUAGCUUUAUUCUCAGCAGCCACCACCUUUUUUGGUACUAGAACAGUGCUUUUUCUAGUACACUCAUAAGUGGAUGCUGAAAUCACAACCUGGCCAUUUGGAUGUUCAGCUAAUGCAUUAUGCCACAGAGUCCCCGGAACUCACCAACCCAUGCUGGAACUCACCGGAGCUCAGUCACCGCCUACAGCCCGGGGACCUGUCGCACUGGAAGCUGAGAAUCGUGCAUCCGGAAGAGGCUCUUGGUGGUGGGGCCAACCCUGCCGGGGCCCAGACUCACCGUGGUGCCAGAGGCCCAGAGUCAGGCUGCAGAAGCUAGUGGGCACGCCACAGGAGACGGAGACCCCAUCCUCACUGGCCAGCUCAAUCCUGGGGACGUCCCUCCUUGUCAUGGCAGGAGGCAGCUGGAGGUCUGGACAGCUCUCCCCCGGCA